AGAAGACUUCAUGAAAUCUCUCAUGUUCGAAAUUCAAGACAUUGAUGCUUUUAGAAUACAAUGUCAUUUACCCUUGCAGUCAGACUGAAAGAGAUGUUUAUAAGCAUAAAAAUGGGUUCUUGUUAUCACCUAAAGAAGAUCCAGUGAAUGCCUUCAGUGUACCCCUUCCUAAGCUGUAUCUUCCUUCACAUUUGGGAACAUUGGAACCUCUGCUGUUGACUCAAUUUCUAAAUUGUUUCCUCUUCACAGGGUACUGCUUUACAAAACCAGAACUCAUCUUCAUAUUGGAACAAGGAGACGAUCCAUGGUCAUUAGAUAAAGGGAAAGAAUCCCUGAGCAGGAAUUCCCCAGAUUCACAGAUCAUGGGUGACUCGAUGACCCUCAGAAACAGGUAAGAUGCCCAUAGUCCACACUGCAGAAUGGGCAGUGUCUGAGGACUAAUGAACUAUACAGAAGCCCAACUACAGAUUGAGACACCAUUCUGACAGAAGAUGCCAUGUCAGCUCCAUCUCCUUGGCACCAGGGAAGAUAAACUCAGGUGCUAGUCAUUCCUCUUCUGACAUGCAGCCUGCUGCUAAGUUAAAUCCUUUUUCUACCACAACUGUCUUUCAAGUUAUUGGCUCUCUUGGAUUUCAGAAAUAUCAAAUCUGUCAAGUCCCAUUAGCUAUGAGUACCUGUAAAAAGAAAAAGGGAAGUUACAGACUUGCAUGACACAAUGCCAUUGUGUAAAUGUCCCCAUUCUUAAAGGGAGGAACAGCAAAAGAGCAAAGCCAAAUUAGACAAAAGCAAGACAGAAAUGUAACAGGGCCAACAUUUCAAUCUCGUAGCUCCGGGCUGCUCACUAGGGGGUAGGGUGGCACAAUAUGGAUCCCUGUGGGCUCAUGUAGCCAAGCCCCAGCAUUGUUGCCUGCUGCAGCCCGUAGGCCUCGUCCUUGGGUUACCUCUCCCCAAUGCCUCUUCAGGUGUUCAACAUUCCUGUCAUCUCCCCCUUCUUGGGGUUUCUCCUACAGCUGCGAGUAAACAUGCAGAGCUUCAUGCUUCUACCUUUUGCAGCUGUUUGUAGGGACUCUGACAGCAGCGCCACACACUGCCAAACAUCCCAGGCUUUCCUCUGAAAUCUCACUGGAAUCUCACCUCACCUGACAAAGCUUGAAUGUUAAGCGUCUGCAAAACAGCGUCCUGUGGAUGACACCUAGAUCUGACAACAAUGACAGGAGGCUCUGGGUCCUCUUGGAUCUCGACUGCAGCAGCCUGAGUGUCUGACUAAACAAGAGAAACAAAUCCCAAGAGACAGGAGCCCUGGCUGGGAUGACAGCCAACACACUCCAAGCUGCUACAGGGACUACUGUCUCCUUUCUGAGAAGCAAAAGAAGACUAUGCCUGACAGGACAAACAUCAGGAGGACAAGGGCCCAUUCUUGAUAUCCCUGAAAUGUCAAACCCCAAUGAGCCAAAGUUAAUACCGUCGCUCACUUCACCACACCCUCAUCCCUUGAAAGUGGCAGCAGUUUUGAUUUGAUCCUUGCUGAAAUGCUGGAGAGAUCAAUAAGGUGCUGGUUUUCCCAGGAUGACAGCACUGUUGCCCUGACAGUUGAGGCUGUCCUAGAUGACUCCAGAGCAGAGCUGGGGCAAUAUUUGCCUUGGUUGCAACAGGCUUUAAGCACAAACCUAUGCCAGAGGGCUACAACCUACAGCUACACUGGAUAACUGCAUCCUGUAACCUCCCAAUGACCCUGCCCACUUCUGUCACAACUUGGAAGCCCCCAGACAGAUCCAGGAACUUCCGAUAACUAGAGAGAGUAGCCCAUUCCUCCGCAAUAUAAGUAGUGCUUCCUUACACUCAUCAGGAGGCCCGGAGGGCUCCCUCCAGCGCACCCCCUCUACAACGUGCUGCAGCAGAGGCCCCAACAAAAACCUCCCUUGGGUUCUUCUAUCAUCUAUUCACUGUUCUUACCGCAGACAGAGUGGGCUGAGCAGACUGCAUUAAAAAGAGUGAGUGACACCACGGGCAACGGCCAAGAGCAGCAGACACUAGUGGAGCCAGGCAGAGACCCCUGGAGAGUGGUGGAGACCAGCUGAUGGGCAUGAACUGCAGCGACUUCUGAGGACAUGUAGAGAGCCCUGGAGAGGCUGUGGAAGUGGCUGCAGGACCUUCAAAGAGCUGCCCAGGACUGUGGAUCGAUCCUAGGGCCUUGCACAUAAGCAGAAAGUGCUCCAACACUACGCUGUAUCUCCAGCUGUGCUUCUUUUAGUUUAGAAGGAAGUCAUUUUUGAAGAUGUAAUACUUGUGGGAAGGCAGCACUACUGGCCUCUAUUUUCAUUCCCAAUAGAGUGCUUAUUCACAUGUGAGACCUAGGGAGCACAGUGUUUAUUCUCCACACUCCUAUCACGCCUAUAGACCACUCAACUCAUAUUCCUAAGGAGGAGCCAGAUAUCAGGAUUUAUAAGGUUUGGGGGGCUAAAGAAUGAACUACCCUAGUUAGGAGCAGUGGGAUGCCUCAGAAUGACACAAGAGUCCAGAGCCUCUAAUGCCAGACUCAAUUCACAGAAAGUCUAAAUUGUACUUCCUGUUAUGUGAAUGUUCUCACUACACAAUCAUCUUGUCAAACAUACUAAACACACACACACACACACACACACACACACACACUCUCUCACUCACAAAGGUGUGAAAAUGAAACAAAUAAUAAAUAAAUAAAUAAUAAUAAUAAGGAAUCCUCCGGUGAGAGGGAAGAAAUUCUUAACUCUUAGGUCAUGUGGUGUAACUAGCACAGCAUGAUUAAAUUCACCUACAAACUUGAUGCAAAUGGAAAAAAAUGAAAAACAAACAAGGAAAAGCAAAAAACAGAAAGAAAUGACCAUCAUCAGCAAAAAUGCCACCUGCAUCUGAAACAUACAGAGCCUGGUUACCACCCAUACUUCUACAGAAUUUUUAAAAAUCCGAGUCACCCAUAACUUGAGGGUCCACUGUAUCUUCUGAAACACGACCAUAGUCCACAUCUCCAGAAUAGAAUCCCCUACCUUCAUUCUUGAAACAUUCCCACAGACUCAUACAAAUGCCUCAGCUUUCUCCAAACAAAUACACUUUCAAUUCUUCUAACAACCCCUUGUUCCCUACGAAUAAGUCACAUAACUCAUCCUUCCACACAUGGAUAUGAGCAAACCAGGCAUGUGCCCAAGACUCGGAGAACUAUCUCCAGUGUACCAUUUAAAAACACAAAGAAAACCUCUUACUUAUCCCUCAUUACUUCUGGCUGGUAGGAAACGGUUCAUGUACCCUAAAAUACUAAGGAAUGGCUGUGUCACAUACCUCCAGAACCUACAAAUACCACUCCCAUACUCUUCUGUGUUAUGAUAAACUAGUAACAUCCCAAUGUGAAAUACAGACAGCCCCAGAAAUACUCAUCCAAACUUCCAUACCUCUCAAUACAUAUACUCAUUUCCCCCAAAUUCUCUGACUUCACACAACUAUAUGGUCAUUGCUACAAAACACAAGCACACACACAUAUGUGCACAUAUCAGAGAGAUGCACUAUGUACAAAUUCAAUACACAUGGCCCUCUCCCAAGCAUCAAAUAGCUACACAACUGAGUAGCUCACGUCAGAUUUACAAUAUCUCCAAUACACACAUCAUUUCAUGCUACCUGCAUAAACAAGAUCACACACUCCAAAAUAAAAAUAACUCUUCUGUCUUCCAAAAUGCAGAAUCAUACUAGAUUUACACUGCAAUUGCACAAUUCACUUUACUAGUCCAAAAAAUAAUCAUAGACCUGUCAUCACACACUGAAGGACACACACACGGACCUUGAAGGUCAGAAAAAGAAGGAUAUUAUAAUACAGCCUGUCCUGUACGCACAAAUAAUCCUCUUACAUUUCAUUUCCCACUGAUGUAAAACAGAGGCAUGCCGAACCUUCAGAAAAGAACACUUAUUUGAAACACGCACACACACAACAUUACCACUUGCCGUAACAAUGCUCUUGGGGACAGCAAGUCCCUAACUAUGGAUUCAUAUGCACACGUUCCCAAAGACCACAAAGACACCGACACCAAACCACCCAUGCCCUGGAAUUUCCUCAGCCCAUCAUGACUAUCCGCAAUUCUCAUGACUCCCACAAUUAAAAAAAAAAAACAAAACAAACUUCCUCCCAUCCUCAAGUACACAAAGGUCUCCCCACCAGACCACCCCCCAUCCUACUGCCCCACACACCUGCUCACACACAGACACACACACAAAAGCCUCUAAUAAAUUUUCUGAAUAUAAUGCACGCAUGGAACAUAAUUUAAUAAUAAACAGCCAAUCUCUUUACUGCAACUGGUUCUCACACAAUGCUGCUGUUGACUUCUGCCAGCCUCCUGCACCCCCAGGAACCUAUGCCUGCAGCUCAGUCACCACGUGACAACUUCACACUGGACAAAAGUGCGUCAUUCAGCUUGGGCAGUCACUACCAAGUGCAGGUGCCACAUGAAUGGUGGCUGAUACUUCCCCUCCCCUAAGUUUCAUACGUGCAAACAAGGAUAUGUCGCAGAGGGCCACUCACUUUUCAGGGACAUGAGUUACUUCUCUGUGCCUCUGGAUGAAGCUUUUCAGAUACAUGAGAAGUGUUCGUCGGGCUUCUGCAUCACGGACACAGAAGGGACACACUGACAAGCUCCAGCCACAAUAAAGCACUUGCCUAAUUAAAUUCCUCAAUUCUAUCACACCAUAAACUAUGCAUAUAUACGCUUACCUUUUGAACACCUUGAUGUAAUUGCUGCUGAAGCACACAAACAAUGCUGUCUAUACCUAUACAUCCCAAAUACCUGAAUGGAUCUUCAAAUACACUAACUACUCAAGUCUCCCAAGACCACGUUUGCAUGAAUUUAUCCCACACUCUCACGUGGAAGCACAAACCACACACCCACAGCUCUGCAAUAGACACCCAGCCACCACACUCCCUCGGUAUAUCACAGAGAUCCCUAGCACAUAUCUCAGGCACCCAAUGCAUGGAUAUACAGAACCACAGAACAGUCACACAUGCCAAUGCAUACACAGCCACAUGUGCCCCAGUACACACACACCAAGCUCCAUCUCUUCCUUUUUGCUGGUGAUGGUGGUCCUUGGAACUGAAUCCAGGGACUCAUACUUAACUACAGUCCAAGUUCCUCCACCUUUUUUCAGUUGUUGUUGAGACAUGGUCUCUCAACAAGAAACGAAAUUGCCCAAGCCGGACCAAACUGGUAUCCUCUGGCCCCAGACUCAUACAGUGCUGGGAUAACUGGUGUGCACCUCCACACUGAGCUCAAAGUCCAUGGUGAAAAACUAAAACAGAAACACUUAACUAAAACAGUUCAAAACCCCAAAAUGAAUUCCCAGGCACCACAACUGCAAACCUGGCUACCUCACUCUUCUCAACAUCCUUUGCACCAGGCUGUGGAUUUAGCUCAGUGUCACCACGCCUGCCUCGCAAACACAAGGUUCCCUGGCACACGCACACACACACACACACAUACACACACACACACACAUCCUUUGCACCACACAAUACCCAAAUUGCCAGCUUUUAACGCCAUGAGCAUACAUAAAACUCCUCUACUGUGAAUGCACAGAUAUAACUAAAAAAAAACAAAAAAGGCAUAACGUUACCUUUUCAAAUGCAUCCACAGAAGAAUCACAGUAUCUCACAGUGCACUACAAAGACACAGUACCAUCUGCCCAAAUACACACACACACACUCACACACACUUACAUAUGUAUACAUACCUACCCAGGAAAAUAACCUUCAGAAUCACACAGUACUCCAGAUUAACCCUCAAUCCACUAUUUUGUAAUUUACUAUAAACUGACCCAUACUUUCCUAAGAGCUCCCUUUCAAAAAACUAUUUUUUGUGUACAUAAAAUAUUGGCAAUCGCAAUGCUUUAGGAACAGCAAACCAGGAGGCAUCACGCGAAAGUAUCCUCAACUUUAUACUUGCUUUGAAUAGUCUGUUACAGUGAAAUUCAUGCAGAGCUGCAAUGCUUCCCCGCAUGAGAUCUGCACCGCUGGCCAGGUGGCUUUCUGAAUGGGGUCUCGAUCCUUCUGGAUUGACCUGAGCAGCACAACUGCUGCACUAAGAAACAAGAAGAAAGGGUGCAGUAACCUUGGAAGAACUCAAAGAAGAUUCCUCACCCAGGAAGACCUUAAGGCAUUUUAUGGGAACAGCUCGAACAUUUAACCAAACUUGGUUCCAGAAAAGUAUACUCCAUGUAGUGAAGCUCAUUUUUAUACAUAUUCUUACAAAACAUGAAAAAAAUCCACCAUAAAUUUGUUUGAGAACAUUUGGUUCUUCUAUGUUAGACUUCAUACCUAUAAUUAAUGAUCACUAAUAAAAUGAAAGAAUCCCAUGCAUCUUAUCAGAUCACAAUGGAACAAAACUAAAAAUCAACAGCAAGAGAAAUUACAGAAGCUAUACAACAAGCACAUGGAGAAUGGACACUACACUUUUGAACAACCAGUGGGUCAAUGCAGCAAUUAGGGGGGAAGGGAAAUGAUUCUCAGAAUUAAGUGAAAAUAUACACACAGCAUACAGUGGAUCCUGGAGUUACAACUCACCUGAUUUAUGAACAACUUAGGUUAUGUUUGGAAAUUUUAGUUUUAACUUAUGACCAAAGUCUUAAGACAGAAAUUCCAGUUGCUUGUGCUUCCAGUUGAUCUCAGAUACACAUUUGACCCUUAAACAUCUCUGGCAGGAGCAUUACAGCAUCCUUUCCUGUGUGGGGUUGAGAAAUCCUGGGCCAGUACUUCUCUAAGGACACUAAGAUCUGCCUGGACACUGCACGGAGACUUGGAUGGCUGUGUAGAGGAGCCUGAGCCUUCAAGAGACCGACUUGAAUUACAACCAGCCAUUGUGCAUGGACUGAGUUUGUAAGUCAAGGGUCCACUGUACCAGAAUUUGUGAGACAGGGUGAAUGUAGUUCUAAGAGGGAAGCUACACCUGAGUGCCUGCAUUAGAAAACCAGUGAUUUCAAGUAAACAAAGUAAGCACGCAUUUCAAAUCCUUAGAAAAACAAUAAACCAAACAUAAAACCGGAAGGUAAUAAAUAAUACAGAUCAGCGUGGAAGUUAAUGAGAUCAUCUAAAAGAACAUUAGAAAGGAUAGUGCAUCAAAGGGUAGGGUGUUUGAAUAUAAAAACAAGAUUGAUGAACCUUGAGCUAAUUAUGCAGAAGAGGGGAGGGCUGGGGAUUAAGCUCAGUGGUGCCA